rnacentral:rRNA from 1 species
GACGAACGCUGGCGGCGUGCUUAACACAUGCAAGUCGAACGGAAAGGCCCUGUUUUGGGGGGGUGCGCGAGUGGCGAACGGGUGACUAACACGUGAGUAACCUGUCCCUGACUGUGGGAUAACUUCAUGAAACUGGAGCUAAUACCGGAUAGGAGCUCUUGCUGCUUGGUGGGGGUGGGAAGGUUUCGGUGGUUGGGGAUGGACUGGCGGCUCAUCGGCUUGUUGGUGGGGUAGUGGAUUACCAAGGCUUGGACGGGUGGCCGGCCUGAGAGGGUGACCGGCCCAAUCGGAACGGGAAUGAGGCCCGGCCUCGACCGGGAGGCAGGGGUGGGGAAUAUUACACAGUGGACGGAACCCUGGUCCGGCACGGCCACGCGGGGGAUGACAGCAUUCGGGUUGUAAACCGCUUUCGCCUGUGCCGAGGUGUGAGUGACGGUAAUGGGUGAAGAAGCACCGGCUAACUACGUG